AUUGAACGCUGGCGGCAGGCCUAACACAUGCAAGUCGAGCGAGCGGCGGACGGGUGAGUAAUGUCUGGGGACUGCCCGAUCGCGGGGGAUAACUACUGGAAACGGUAGCUAAUACCGCAUACCAUCGGAUUCCACAGAUGGGAUUAGCUAGUAGGUGAGGUAAUGGCUCACCUAGGCGACGAUCCCUAGCUGGGCUGCGAGGAUGAGCAGCAACACGGGAACUGAGACAUGGCCCAGACUCCGACGGAGGCAGCAGUGGGGAAUAUUGCAAAAUGGGCGCAAGCUUGAUGCAGCCAUGCCGCGUGUAUGAAGAAGGCCCUAGGGUUGUAAAGUACUUUCAGGGGGGAGGCGUUACCUGCAGAAGAAGCACCGGCUAACUCCGUGCCAGCAGCCGCGGUAAUAC
rnacentral:rRNA from 1 species